rnacentral:rRNA from 1 species
ACCCGCUGAACUUAAGCAUAUCAAUAAGCGGAGGAAAAGAAACUAACAAGGAUUCCCCUAGUAACUGCGAGUGAAGCGGGAAAAGCUCAAAUUUAAAAUCUGGCGGUCCUCGCGGCCGUCCGAGUUGUAAUCUAGAGAAGCGUCAUCCGUGCCGGUCCGCGUACAAGUCUCUUGGAAUAGAGCGUCAUAGAGGGUGAGAAUCCCGUCUCUGCCGCGGACUACCGGUGCAUUGCGAUGCGCUCUCGACGAGUCGAGUUGUUUGGGAAUGCAGCUCAAAAUGGGUGGUAAAUUCCAUCUAAAGCUAAAUAUUGGCGAGAGACCGAUAGCGAACAAGUACCGUGAGGGAAAGAUGAAAAGAACUUUGGAAAGAGAGUUAAACAGUACGUGAAAUUGUUGAAAGGGAAACGCUUGAAGUCAGUCGCGUCUAUUGGGGAUCAGCCUUCUCUCGAGUCGGCGUACUUCCCAACAGACGGGUCAGCAUCGAUUUCGUCCGUCGGAGAAAGGCGAGGGGAAUGUGGCAUCUUCGGAUGUGUUAUAGCCUCUCGUCGUAUGCGACGGAUGGGUUCGAGGUAUUCAGCGCGCCGCAAGGCCGGGGUUCGCCCACGUCCGCGCUUAGGAUGCUGGCAUAAUGGCUUU